ensembl:lncRNA
UAGAGCUGCCCUGAGUGAGCUGUCAUCAGUCCACCAUUGUUUCAAACGCCAGAGCUGGUGUUGACAAGAAUGUCUCCUACACUGUUAAAAAUUGCUGUUAAUUUACGUCAAAAUUUUAACAGUAUAAUCCUGUUAUGUUAAAAAACAGUGCAUUACUGUUUUUUACGGUUGGUGAAAUGACGUAGAUAAAAUUUAACGUUAUUUUACCGUAUUUAUUGCACAAAGGAAAGAAAACAGUACUUAACAGUAUUUUGGGAACAGAAAGCUGCAGCGAGCACAUGUGGAUUUUCAUCCGUCUUUAUAUUGUGAUUUAACUGUGCUAAACCCGUCAACGUGUCAACGGCGUCAUAGAGUGGAGCUGGAUUGAUUCAGAUAUUCCCCGAUUACAAGGCGCUUCCUUGGAAUAAAUCCUGAAAAAGGCACCAAGGGUGGACAAGUCCUAUCAAAGCGGACAGGGAAGGUCGGCCACAAAAUGAAAUCAGUCAACACUCGGGUUGCCAGUCUACUUAAGAAACUAAUGGACUUAGAGUGAGACUUCAUAUAAGUGAACUCACUCAUCCACUGACAUACCACACACACACACACCAUACACAUACUUUCACACAUGACAAAAACAUGCUUUUCAUUUGUUAGUCGCACAAUUUUUUUAUAAUGUUAUGUAAAUGUUUUGUUUAUUCAGUUAAACGAAAGUUUAUUCUGAGGCUUACGUUUUAGUCAUUCCACUUGAAUCAGCCACUAAUUUUGAGAAUAUUUUGUGAUUAAAGUGGCUUUGGUUUUUCACAUUUUCAAGUUUUAAUAAAGCACUUUUUGAAGUUACACUGCAUUGUGUUAAAUUUUUAAUGUUUCAAAGGCUAUAUUUGUACAUUGUAUUAAAACAUGGUUUUAUAGCAAGACUUCUAAGGGGAAAUUUAUAAAAUCAAAAAAAAAUCUAGAAAAAUAAUUCCACCUUUUUUUCUUAACAGUCCAUUUCUCAAUAUAAUAACAUGUUUGUAGUUUACAGUUAAAAGUGAAAAAAAAACAUUAAUUAACUGUUGCUUUUGACAGUAAUUUACUGUUAAUGUAUAAAAUAACAGCUUUAUGCUGUAUUUCCAAAAACAGUAACAAACUGUAAAUUUCAACAACAGCAAGACACUGUUAAUUUAACAGUAACUUGCUGGCAACCGUGCUGCCAGUUACUUACCGUUUUUUAACGGGACAAUUUUUAACAGUGUAAGCGAUUGAGGUGUUUUGUUGCUGGAUGUAAUAAUGAUCAUAGCAGUCAUCAUUUACUCCCGACAUCUGAGCGCCUGAAGACGCAGUGGAUA